rnacentral:rRNA from 1 species
UACGUAGGGGGCAAGCGUUGUCCGGAUUUAUUGGGCGUAAAGAGCGUGUAGGCGGCCUGACAAGUCUGCUGUGAAAACUCGAGGCUCAACCUCGAGAUGUCGGCGGAAACUGUCUGGCUAGAGUCCGGAAGAGGAGAGUGGAAUUCCUGGUGUAGCGGUGAAAUGCGCAGAUAUCAGGAAGAACACCUAUGGCGAAGGCAGCUCGCUGGGACGUUACUGAGCUGAGACGCGAAAGCGUGGGGAGCAAACAGG